GACGUAGGGCGCGAGCGUUGUCCGGAUUUAUUGGGCGUAAAGAGCUCGUAGGCGGUCUGUCGCGUCGAUCGUGAAAACUUGGGGCUUAACCCUGAGCUUGCGGUCGAUACGGGCAUGACUGGAGUUCGGCAGGGGAGACUGGAAUUCCUGGUGUAGCGGUGAAAUGCGCAGAUAUCAGGAGGAACACCGGUGGCGAAGGCGGCAUCCUGGACCGGCAUUGACGCUGAGGCGCGAAAGCCAGGGGAGCAAACGGG
rnacentral:rRNA from 1 species